GACGAACGCUGGCGGCGUGCUUAACACAUGCAAGUCGAACGGAAAGGCCCUGCUUGCAGGGUACUCGAGUGGCGAACGGGUGAGUAACACGUGGGUGAUCUGCCCUGCACUUCGGGAUAAGCCUGGUAAACUGGGUCUAAUACCGGAUAUGACCUUCCAUGUAGUGUGGGGGGUGGAAAGAUUUAUCGGUGUGGGAUGAGCCCGCGGCCUAUCAGCUUGUUGGUGGGGUAAUGGCCUACCAAGGCGUCGACGGGUAGCCGGCCUGAGAGGGUGGACGGCCACAUUGGGACUGCGAUACGGCCCAGACUCCUACGGGAGGCAGCAGUGGGGAAUAUUGCACAAUGGGCGGAAGCCUGAUGCAGCGACGCCGCGUGGGGGAUGACGGCCUUCGGGUUGUAAACCUCUUUCGACAGGGACGAAGCUUCGGUGACGGUACCUGUAGAAGAAGCACCGGCCAACUACGUG
rnacentral:rRNA from 1 species